UCUAUUUUCCCCAAGACACGUUAGCUGCCGUUUUUUCCUGUUGUGAACUAGCGCUUUUGUGACUCUCUCAACGUGCAGUGAGAGCCGGUUGAUGUUUACUAUCCUUCAUCAUGACAUCUUAUUUUCUAGAAAUCCGUAGGCGAAUGCUGCUGCUGCUCUUGUUGCUGUUGUUGUUGUUGUUGUGGCGGUGGUGGUUGAGGCUGUUGUUGCUGCAUGUGGUGGUGCUGUUGAUGCUGCUGUUGAUG
rnacentral:misc_RNA from 1 species